GAUGAAGAACGUAGCGAAAUGCGACAAGUAAUGUGAAUUGCAGAAUUCAGUGAAUCAUCGAAUCUUUGAACGCACCUUGCGCCCUCUGGUAUUCCGGAGGGCAUGCCUGUUUGAGUGUCAUGAACACCUCACCCCCUCGGGUUUCCGAUCGGGUGGAUUUGGGUGCUGCCAGUCACAUGGCUCGCCUUAAAUGCAUUAGCGGUUGUAGACGUAAUAAGUUUCGUCUUACCGGCCGCUGACAAUCUCCUUCGGGAUGUCUUGCAAAGGACACUUCAUGAUCUGACCUCAAAUCAGGUAGGACUACCCGCUGAACUUAAGCAUAUCAAUAAGCGGAGGA
rnacentral:misc_RNA from 1 species